GGGUACCAUCCGCACGCCUUUCUGGCAGCUUCCAUAGGGACCGUAGGCGGCGCUCUCCGGUUUCAAAUACUGGAUCACCAAAUCGCUCGCACAUCCUCGUUGAAUGCCUCGGAACGACGACGAAAAAGACGGCAUUGGGCGUCCAGAAGAUCAGCAAGCUAGCGGUCAGCACAGUCAGCAGUCGAUAUUUUCACGACAUACGUUACCUAAUUCGACAGAAUUAUUGACACGUGAUAACGAUGUCAUCGUGCUGACGGUUGGGAUAACGCUGCAGACGAUUCUCCUAGAUCGGCGUUUAGCGCACAGAACAUCCACUUGCUGCUGAAUCGAGAUUGCAAACAUUCAUCAGGUCAUCCGUUGCCGGUCGAUUAAAUAAACCAUCCAAAAGGACACCUGUGCAAUGAGUCUACGGCAUUUAAGCGUUACGGCGUUGUUGCAUUUGAU